CUUUAUUGGAGAGUUUGAUCCUGGCUCAGGACGAACGCUGGCGGCGUGCCUAAUACAUGCAAGUCGAGCGGACAGAUGGGAGCUUGCUCCCU
rnacentral:rRNA from 1 species